rnacentral:rRNA from 1 species
CCUGGCUCAGGACGAACGCUGGCGGCGUGCCUAAUACAUGCAAGUCGAGCGGACAGAUGGGAGCUUGCUCCUGAUGUUAGCGGCGGACGGGUGAGUAACACGUGGGUAACCUGCCUGUAAGACUGGGAUAACUCCGGGAAACCGGGGCUAAUACCGGAUGGUUGUUUGAACCGCAUGGUUCAAACAUAAAAGGUGGCUUCGGCUACCACUUACAGAUGGACCCGCGGCGCAUUAGCUAGUUGGUGAGGUAACGGCUCACCAAGGCAACGAUGCGUAGCCGACCUGAGAGGGUGAUCGGCCACACUGGGACUGAGACACGGCCCAGACUCCUACGGGAGGCAGCAGUAGGGAAUCUUCCGCAAUGGACGAAAGUCUGACGGAGCAACGCCGCGUGAGUGAUGAAGGUUUUCGGAUCGUAAAGCUCUGUUGUUAGGGAAGAACAAGUACCGUUCGAAUAGGGCGGUACCUUGACGGUACCUAACCAGAAAGCCACGGCUAACUACGUGCCAGCAGCCGCGGUAAUACGUAGGUGGCAAGCGUUGUCCGGAAUUAUUGGGCGUAAAGGGCUCGCAGGCGGUUUCUUAAGUCUGAUGUGAAAGCCCCCGGCUCAACCGGGGAGGGUCAUUGGAAACUGGGGAACUUGAGUGCAGAAGAGGAGAGUGGAAUUCCACGUGUAGCGGUGAAAUGCGUAGAGAUGUGGAGGAACACCAGUGGCGAAGGCGACUCUCUGGUCUGUAACUGACGCUGAGGAGCGAAAGCGUGGGGAGCGAACAGGAUUAGAUACCCUGGUAGUCCACGCCGUAAACGAUGAGUGCUAAGUGUUAGGGGGUUUCCGCCCCUUAGUGCUGCAGCUAACGCAUAAGCACUCCGCCUGGGAGA